CCUACGGGAGGCAGCAGUAGGGAAUAUUGGUCAAUGGGGGAAAGCCUGAACCAGCAACGCCGCGUGGGGGAAGAAGGUUUUAGGAUUGUAAAACCCUUUUGUUAGAGAAGAAUAUGACGGUAUGUAACGAAUAAGCACCGGCUAACACCGGGCCAGAAGCCGAGGUAAUACGGAGGGUGCAAGGGUUACGCGGAAUCUAUGUGCGUAAAGAGGGCGUAGGCGGGGUAAUAAGUCAGAUGUGAAAGCCCGUAGCUUAACUACAGAACGUCAGUGGAAACUGUUACUCUUGAGUGUGGGAGAGGUAGGUGGAAUUCCUUGUGUAGCGGUGAAAUGCGUAGAUAUCAAGAGGAAUACUCAUUGCGAAGGCGACCUGCUGGAACAUAACUGACGCUGAUGCACGAAAGCGUGGGGAGCAAACAGGAUUAGAUACCCCAGUAGUC
rnacentral:rRNA from 1 species